CCUACGGGGGGCAGCAGUAGGGAAUAUUGCUCAAUGGGGGAAACCCUGACGCAGCAACGCCGCGUGGAGGAUGAAGGUUUUCGGAUUGUAAACUUCUUUUGUUAGAGAAGAUAAUGACGGUAUCUAACGAAUAAGCACCGGCUAACUCCGUGCCAGCAGCCGCGGUAAUACGGAGGGUGCAAGCGUUACUCGGAAUCACUGGGCGUAAAGAGCGCGUAGGCGGGAUAGCAAGUCAGAUGUGAAAUCCUAUGGCUUAACCAUAGAACUGCAUUUGAAACUGUUAUUCUAGAGUAUGGGAGAGGUAGGUGGAAUUCGUGGUGUAGGGGUAAAAUGCGUAGAGAUCAAGAGGAAUACUCAUUGCGAAGGCGGCCUGCUAGAACAUAACUGACGCUGAUGCGCGAAAGCGUGGGGAGCAAACAGGAUUAGAUACCCCAGUAGUC
rnacentral:rRNA from 1 species